UACAGAGGUCUCGAGCGUUAGGCGGAAUCACUGGGCUUAAAGCGUGUGUAGGCGGUUCGGUAAGUACCUUGUGAAAUCCCACAGCUUAACUGUGGAACUGCUUGGUAUACUGCCAGUCUUGAGCCACUUAGGGGCUACCGGAACAAAUGGUGGAGCGGUGAAAUGCGUAGAUAUCAUUUGGAACGCCAAUGGUGAAAACAGGUAGCUGGGAGUGUGCUGACGCUGAGACACGAAAGCCAGGGGAGCAAACGGG
rnacentral:rRNA from 1 species